rnacentral:rRNA from 1 species
UACGAAGGGGGCUAGCGUUGUUCGGAAUUACUGGGCGUAAAGGGCUCGUAGGCGGCCAACUAAGUCAGACGUGAAAUCCCUCAGCUUAACUGGGGAACUGCGUCUGAUACUGGAUGGCUUGGAUUUGGGAGAGGAAUGCGGAAUUCCAGGUGUAGCGGUGAAAUGCGUAGAUAUCUGGAGGAACACCGGUGGCGAAGGCGGCAUUCUGGACCAAUAUUGACGCUGAGGAGCGAAAGCCAGGGGAGCAAACGGG